GCCAAGACUCCAGGUCUUCUUGGUUGUGCCCCCUAAGGAGAAAAAGAUGCACGAGGAGCAACCAGCCCGUGGACCUGAAGGUCAAGGUGCCUGGAGAAGAGAAAAGAAGGGUAUAGGAGCCAGACCCCCGGCCAGGUCCGGAUGGGAUCUCCAGCAGGAUAGCCCAGGAGUUCGGCACGGAAGCUAGCAGGACGCGUGUUACCUGAGACCCCCAUGUGUGUGCAGGCCACAGCGAAGGAGAGAGAAUCGGGCGAGAAAACCUGGGCUUCCCUCCUGGCUCAUGACUGACGGACUGACCACGUGCUCCUGGGCGGAAGCCUUGAUUCACCCACCCAUCGAAUGGGAGCGGAGUGCUCUCCUCACAGGGCUGCUGGGACGACAAAACAAGGUGACACGGGAGUGUGCAGAGCAGGGCGUGGCUUGUCCAGGCUGCCCUCUUCUCUCCCUGGGGUCUCCCCUCAACUCUCGUGCUGGCCCCGACUGCCUUUUCCCAGUGGCGCCCUCCAGCGCAGUGCGAAGCUCCCCGUGACACAGAGGCUCCCGGGGAAGACCUGACUCCAAGGGGCCCGCGGACCUCCAGGCUGCGCCCCCCAGGUGGUGCCCCCAGCCCGACUGCGGCCACAGUGUGCACCUCAGACGGCGAGGGAACCGCCAGGCCCUCGGCCUCCUCCGUCAGACUGCAAGCUCUUCUGGGCAGGCCCGGCCCUCAGAGGACUCAUGCAAGGGACAGGCCGGGCUGAGCCGGUGCAGAGGGAGGGCCCGAGGCUCACUGUGCUCGUGUUUGAGGGGCUCAGCCUCCCGCCAGGGCCCGCCCAAGACCCUUUCACAGCCCGCACACUAGGACUGAGUAGCUAGAAACUGCGUAUCUCCCGGAAGUGCCCUGGUGUGAUCAUCCAUCUAAAGGCUCUGGCGGCAGUGUGCGGAGGGGGGGGCCCUGGGGCAGAGAAGUGAGUGGAACAGAAAAUUCGCGGUGUCUCUCGAAUCUAGAUGGAAGCUGGAGAUUUCGAUUCCCUGGAGUCUAGGACAUGGGCCAAAGUGCAUUCUCCUCUAAGGGAGGCUCUCUUCAGUGUGACAGGAUGGACAGAAGGCAAGAUUGCCCUUUGAGUCAGGAACCCCCAAAUACAAUGAGUUGUUUGUUCACUUAUAGAAUUUGGUAGAUCUCAUACCUAUUCCUCAAUGUUUAUGGGGCAGGACUCCGGAACUGCGGCUGUUCGGUAGGAAAGACCAAAAGCAAACGGUGAACGAGAGAGAAGACACACAUGCAUGCACAAAAUAAAAUCCACGCCACCGCCGCCGCCAACCAGCACGCCACGAAACACCGGACCGACAGGCCGCCCUCACUCUGAAUUCGCACGAGUGCCUGCCACAGACCACCGCUCUAGGACCCUGAGCCAGGGCCUGGAACCGAUCCUGCCGGAAUAGACUCAGCACUCAGACCUGAAGGAUCUGUUCUCGCCGGCUUCUUAAUUCACUCCGUGGCGAGGGGAGGGUUAGCAGCAGUCACGUGGUGCCCUUCCUGCUCCCCCCCUUCCCCCCGAAAGGACUCCGAGGGGCCCUCAGCAGAACCCUGCUGCUGCUCCCGGGUCACAUGUGCAAAGGGGGAGCCUCGCUGCAGAGGGCAACCGGCUCGCAGACGGGGCUUCCCGGACACAUGCUCCCACUGGGUCCGGCCCUUCAGCCAGAAACUGGAGCUUGUUGACUGAAAAUCUGUCGUGGCGACAGAUCAAGGAAAUAUGAAGUCUCCUAGGUGCAUCUCAGCCUCGGGUUAUGAGGCUUGAAGACAGGAGGAAACUGGAUUUCAAGUUUUUGCCGGUAUUGCUGUGCUUUGCUGGAUAUGUCCCCCCCUGCACGCUGCGGUCAUUUAACAAUGUAUCUCUAUUUCCACUAACAAACCCAAAUUAUGUUGGCUUUUUUUCCCCCCUAUCACCUACACUACCCAGAACCUUAUCACUUACU